UGUCUGGCAGUUCCCUACUCUCGCAUGGGGUGACCCCACACUACCAUCGGCGCUACGGCGUUUCACUUCUGAGUUCGGCAUGGGGUCAGGUGGGACCACCGCGCUACGGCCGCCA
rnacentral:rRNA from 1 species